UCCAUUCCAUCAUGAGAUGAGUUCUCAAUAAAAGUUUAUUCUUGAAAUUAGAAGGUUGGGAAGGGAUUUGAAAACUUAACAAAUAGAACACGACAAAAUACACAUCAAUUUACAUGUUUCACACCUCAAACAUGCAUCAAAACUAUUCUGUACCAAGAGAAAGAAUUUUGUUGAAGAAGAAGAAACAUAAACAUUAAAAGAAAAUGAAAAUUAACUAAG
rnacentral:lncRNA from 1 species